rnacentral:lncRNA from 1 species
GCUCCUAAUAUUAACCUUUCUAUUUUUGCCAAUAAUCAUUCUAGUUCUGCUUUUGGCAAAAAAAAAAACAAUUGAUGUUGGUUGGGAUCUAUCCACAUAUAAUAUGCACUCAGUUUGGUUUUCCAUAUGAUUUUCUCCUUAUUUUGUAAGUUUGCUCACUGACAAGGAAUGAUGCGUCUUUAUUUGAACCUACCAUUAGACAAGGCUGGAAUUGGCAACAAUAUUUGGCAUUAUUAUUCACAAAUCUCCCUCAGUCUGGUGCCCCACACAAGAAGUUUGCACACAUACAGGUUUGCCACUGAACAUCUAAAUCAUUCAGAGGAGGACUGGGUGAAAGUGUUUCAGAAAGUGUAGUCAGAUGAGAACAAAAAUAAAAAAAUCUUUGGCAUCCACACAUCUUGCUGUGUUUGGUGGAGCAGGAACCCAAAAACAUCAUAUGUAGCACACUUGGAUAAAUCAAUCACCAGUGUUAUCACAAAAUGCGAUAGAUUCAUAUAACAUGGGAGCAUGACAAUCGCUACUGCUAUUCUUACCAGUUGCAUGAUAAUAAACCAAACAGAUUUGUAUUUAGAAACAUAAUGUUUGGACUGUGUUUUGUGCUGCCAGGAGUCAGAGUCUAUAUUAUAUGUACGGCGUCAACGGCUUCAGUCAGUGGGAGGCUUCUCUCUUGUCCUCGUACAUUCCCUGGCACACAUAUCACUUGGAAAUCUGACCACUGAGUCGUGCCCUGCUUUCCAAAGAGCAUUCUUUAAGGUAUGUAAGGUGCUGCAAAUAUGCUUUACUGAGCUGUUUUGCACCAGGUUAGAGUGCCAAUCUCUGGCUGAAACGGGCACCUCCAGCAUGCAGAGAGGGUCAGAUAUGACUGUGUCUCUUUUGGAGAGAGCUCACAAACUGUAUGGAGGGCACGAAGAGAAUGAUGUAAUGGGACUGCUCCAGAAACACAAAGAGGCAUCACUGUUCCUACAAGUAGAGAGCUUACUGAAAGAAAGAUCUUGCAGCACAAGACCCAACAGUGGCUCAAGAGAAGAGCGGGACUACAGCUCAGCCAUGUGUAGAUCACCUUCUACUCAGGCAGAAUGGGAAGGACAUGCAAGACAUUAUAAAAAUAAAAAAGAAUAAUACUGUUUUGUAAAAAUCUUGUUUUAACUGAUUUGCCUUUAUGAACUUCUUGUGUAUGCGGAAUUAAAAAAUACUAUGUAUGUUUGCUG